AGAGGGUUGUGAGACUAGGGCUGU
rnacentral:miRNA from 1 species